rnacentral:rRNA from 1 species
CAGCCGCCGCGGUAAUACGUAGGGUGCAAGCGUUAAUCGGAAUUACUGGGCGUAAAGCGUGCGCAGGCGGUUUUGUAAGACAGAGGUGAAAUCCCCGGGCUCAACCUGGGAACUGCCUUUGUGACUGCAAGGCUGGAGUGCGGCAGAGGGGGAUGGAAUUCCGCGUGUAGCAGUGAAAUGCGUAGAUAUGCGGAGGAACACCGAUGGCGAAGGCAAUCCCCUGGGCCUGCACUGACGCUCAUGCACGAAAGCGUGGGGAGCAAACAGGAUUAGAUACCCGCGUAGUCCCUGUCUCUUAUAA